UCCGAAUUGGUGUAGUGGCUAACAUUUGACGCUCUCAAAAAGGUGCCGUCAAGCCCGGGGUUCGAUUCCCCGAUUCGGAG
rnacentral:tRNA from 1 species